rnacentral:rRNA from 2 species
GUGGAGCUUGCUCCAUGAUUCAGCGGCGGACGGGGUGAGUAAUGCCUAGGAAUCUGCCUGGUAGUGGGGGACAACGUUUCGAAAGGAACGCUAAUACCGCAUACGUCCUACGGGAGAAAGUGGGGGAUCUUCGGACCUCACGCUAUCAGAUGAGCCUAGGUCGGAUUAGCUAGUUGGUGAGGUAAAGGCUCACCAAGGCGACGAUCCGUAACUUGGUCUGAGAGGAUGAUCAGUCACACUGGAACUGAGACACGGUCCAGACUCCUACGGGAGGCAGCAGUGGGGAAUAUUGGACAAUGGGCGAAAGCCUGAUCCAGCCAUGCCGCGUGUGUGAAGAAGGUCUUCGGAUUGUAAAGCACUUUAAGUUGGGAGGAAGGGCAGUAAGUUAAUACCUUGCUGUUUUGACGUUACCAACAGAAUAAGCACCGGCUAACUUCGUGCCAGCAGCCGCGGUAAUACGAAGGGUGCAAGCGUUAAUCGGAAUUACUGGGCGUAAAGCGCGCGUAGGUGGUUCGUUAAGUUGGAUGUGAAAGCCCCGGGCUCAACCUGGGAACUGCAU